rnacentral:piRNA from 1 species
UGAUCAGGUCAGGAAGCCAGAUGGAU